UACGGGGGGGGCAAGCGUUGUUCGCAAUUACUGGGCGUAAAGGGCUCGUAGGCGGCCAACUAAGUCGGAUGUGAAAUCCCCAGGCUUAACCUGGGAACUGCAUCCGAUACUGGAUGGCUUGAAUCCGGGAGAGGGAUGCAGAAUUCCAGGUGUAGCGGUGAAAUGCGUAGAUAUCUGGAGGAAUACCGGUGGCGAAGGCGGCAUCCUGGACCGGCAUUGACGCUGAUGAGCGAAAGCUAGGGGAGCAAACGGG
rnacentral:rRNA from 1 species